rnacentral:rRNA from 1 species
CCUACGGGAGGCUGCAGUGGGGAAUAUUGCACAAUGGGCGCAAGCCUGAUGCAGCCAUGCCGCGUGUGUGAAGACGGCCUUCGGGUUGUAAAGCACUUUCAGCGGGGAGGAAGGCGUUAAGGUUAAUAACCUUGUCGAUUGACGUUACCCGCAGAAGAAGCACCGGCUAACUCCGUGCCAGCAGCCGCGGUAAUACGGAGGGUGCAAGCGUUAAUCGGAAUUACUGGGCGUAAAGCGCACGCAGGCGGUCUGUCAAGUCGGAUGUGAAAUCCCCGGGCUCAACCUGGGAACUGCAUUCGAAACUGGCAGGCUAGAGUCUUGUAGAGGGGGGUAGAAUUCCAGGUGGAGCGGUGAAAUGCGUAGAGAUCUGGAGGAAUACCGGUGGCGAAGGCGGCCCCCUGGACAAAGACUGACGCUCAGGUGCGAAAGCGUGGGGAGCAAACAGGAUUAGAUACCCUUGGAGUC